rnacentral:rRNA from 1 species
AAUGAACGCUGGCGGCAUGCCUAACACAUGCAAGUCGAACGAAGGCUUCGGCCUUAGUGGCGCACGGGUGCGUAACGCGUGGGAAUCUGCCCCUUGGUUCGGAAUAACAGUUAGAAAUGACUGCUAAUACCGGAUGAUGACGUAAGUCCAAAGAUUUAUCGCCGAGGGAUGAGCCCGCGUAGGAUUAGCUAGUUGGUGUGGUAAGAGCGCACCAAGGCGACGAUCCUUAGCUGGUCUGAGAGGAUGAUCAGCCACACUGGGACUGAGACACGGCCCAGACUCCUACGGGAGGCAGCAGUAGGUAAUAUUGGACAAUGGGCGAAAGCCUGAUCCAGCAAUGCCGCGUGAGUGAUGAAUGCCUUAGGGUUGUAAAGCUCUUUUACCCGGGAUGAUAAUGACAGUACCGGGAGAAUAAGCUCCGGCUAACUCCGUG